rnacentral:rRNA from 1 species
GACGGAGGGUGCAAGCGUUGUUCGGAUUGACUGGGCGUAAAGGGCGUGUAGGCGGUUUGUCAAGUCGGGUGUGAAAGCCUGGGGCUCAGCCCCAGAAGUGCAUCCGAAACUAGCGAGCUAGAGCGCGAUAGAGGAGGGUGGAAUUCCUGGUGUAGCGGUGAAAUGCGUAGAUAUCAGGAGGAACACCGGCGGCGAAGGCGGCCCUCUGGAUCGUUGCUGACGCUGAGACGCGAAAGCGUGGGGAGCAAACAGG